CUGAAUUCGAGAUUUGCUUGUCCGGUGGAGGUAUUUGAGUGCGGUUUCGGCAAUUGAGAUACUAGUCGGGGUACCCCACGUGGCAGUUAAUAUUCUAGCGGAUUGUGUAUUCUCAGAUUAGUGGUGAGGUCCCAGAAUUCGGAUCGUCACUAGUCUAUCUUUAUUUUUCAGUCUUUUGUACCAUUCAGAGACUUAUGUUGUAUCUUCAGAUUCGAACCUUGUAUUAGAUGCUCUUUAUACUUAUGACACCA